rnacentral:rRNA from 1 species
UCGCCUGUUUUAUCAAAAACAUGUCCUCUUGGGUCAAUGAAUUUGAGGUUUGACCUGCCCACUGAGUAAGUUUUAAAGGGCCGCGGUAUUUUGACCGUGCAAAGGUAGCAUAAUCAUUAGUCUUUUAAUUGAAGGCUGGAAUGAAUGGUUGGACGAGGCACUGACUGUCUCGUAGUAAUUUGGGUUAGAAUUUAACGUUUAGGUGAAAAGGCUUAAAUAGAUUUGAAGGACGAGAAGACCCUAUAGAGCUUGAUAUUAGAGGUGUUACGAAUAUGUAGAAGAUUUUAUUUAUAGCAUGCGAUUAGUAUUUUAUUGGGGUGAUGGGAAGAUAAAAAAAACUCUUUUUGGUAAAUUAAUAUUGAUGAGUAGGUGUAUUGAUCCGUUAGUAGUGAUUAUAAGACUAAGUUACCUUAGGGAUAACAGCGUAAUCUUUUUUGAGAGAUCUUAUCGACAAAAAGGGUUGCGACCUCGAUGUUGGAUUAAGAAAAUGCUCGGGUGCAGGAGCUUGAGUGUUAGGUCUGUUCGACCUUUAAAUUCUUACAUGAUCUGAGUUCCAAACCGGAGA